GAGCCUCUACGGUGUGCGUGUGAGUGGGUGUAAAAGCGCGAACCGACACAAUCGCAGAGGGAACUGUUGUUCUUCCCGUGGAAGGCAAGCCCGAACGUGGGUUCGGGAGUCCGGAAGCGGGCAAGACAGGUUCCCACCUGGCAGGUAAGGGGUCGGUUCUCCCCUGACACGGCACCGCGGAGGCUCG
rnacentral:other from 1 species